rnacentral:rRNA from 1 species
UACGACGGGGGCUAGCGUUGCUCGGAAUCACUGGGCGUAAAGCGCACGUAGGCGGAUUGUUAAGUCAGGGGUGAAAUCCUGGAGCUCAACUCCAGAACUGCCUUUGAUACUGGCGAUCUUGAGUCCGGGAGAGGUGAGUGGAACUGCGAGUGUAGAGGUGAAAUUCGUAGAUAUUCGCAAGAACACCAGUGGCGAAGGCGGCUCACUGGCCCGGUACUGACGCUGAGGUGCGAAAGCGUGGGGAGCAAACAGG